UGCCAGCCGCCGCGGUAAGACGAACCGGACAAACGUUAUUCGGAAUUACUGGGCUUAAAGGGUGCGUAGGCGGUGCGGAAAGUUGGGUGUGAAAUCCCUCGGCUCAACCGAGGAAUUGCGCCCAAAACUGCCGUGCUUGAGGGAGACAGAGGUGAGCGGAACUGAUGGUGGAGCGGUGAAAUGCGUUGAUAUCAUCAGGAACACCAGUGGCGAAAGCGGCUCACUGGGUCUCUUCUGACGCUGAGGCACGAAAGCUAGGGUAGCGAACAGGAUUAGAUA
rnacentral:rRNA from 1 species